rnacentral:lncRNA from 1 species
UGUAAUAGUCAGAACGUAAAAAACAGACUUUAAGAGGGAAAGUGCAACAUUUUUACCUCAGCAUGUGUCACAGGAAACCAGUGCUGUCCGUCUCCUACCUACAUGUGUCACAGUGAAGCGCCACUACUGCGCUUUUCAACGGAGAAGCAACGAAAAAUAUCAUUUAGAAAGUAGGAAGUGUCCGAAGCCCGCAGGAAAGCGCGGGACCGAGCCUGGCAUCCGGCGCUCCGGGUACCGGGGACGCGCUCCUCCUCGAGCCGUCCUGGAGGCUCGCUCUCCCGGGCUCCAGCCCCGCUCUGCCUGCCCACCCGCCCGUCGCUCUGAUUGAUUACAGUCAGCAGCCAAUGGCUUCCACAUCGCACCCCCUGGCUUUUUAUAGAGCUCCCCUGCCCACCGUCACUCGUCGUGCUCGACUCCUCCGGGGGGCACGCGGCCGCGGCUCCGGCAUGAUGAACAGUCAGUACCACGAAAUACAUUUCCAUCUACUAGCCGCUGGGUCCUAAUGUGGGAUCAAAUUGGUGGCAAUGAAGAGGUGACCAAAGAAAAAAUGACAAGGCAUUCUCGGUGUUAAGUACGCAGCAGCACAUUUGUUCUGAGGUUUAUUUUUUUAGUAUAAUACUGAUAAAAUGUAGAACAGCACAGUAUUUCAUAAGUUAUUUCAGGGAGAAAUUUGAAUAUUUUGUGAUAAUACUGUAUAAAUAAAAAAUGUAGAUACGGCA